UACGGAGGGUGCAAGCGUUGUCCGGAUUCACUGGGUGUAAAGGGUGCGCAGGCGGGAGUGCAAGUCAGAGGUGAAAUCUCACGGCUCAACCGUGAAACUGCCUUUGAUACUGCAUUUCUUGAGUUAGGGAGAGGUUGAUGGAAUUUCCAGGUGUAGCGGUGAAAUGCGUAGAUAUCUGGAAGAACACCGGUGGCGAAGGCGGCAUCCUGGACCGGUAUUGACGCUGAGGCGCGAAAGCUAGGGGAGCGAACGGGG
rnacentral:rRNA from 1 species